UACAGAGGUCUCAAGCGUUGUUCGGAUUCAUUGGGCGUAAAGGGGUGCGUAGCGGCGCGGUAAGUCGGGUGUGAAAUCUCGGAGCUUAACUCCGAAACUGCAUUCGAUACUGCCGUGCUUGAGGACUGGAGAGGAGACUGGAAUUUACGGUGUAGCGGUGAAAUGCGUAGAUAUCGUAAGGAAGACCAGUGGCGAAGGCGGGUCUCUGGACAGUUCCUGACGCUGAGGCACGAAGGCCAGGGGAGCAAACGGG
rnacentral:rRNA from 1 species